rnacentral:rRNA from 1 species
UGUCUCAGUUCGGAUUGGAGUCUGCAACCCGACUCCAUGAAGCUGGAUUCGCUAGUAAUCGCGCAUCAGCCACGGCGCGGUGAAUACGUUCCCCGGGCCUUGUACACACCGCCCGUCAAGCCAUGGAAGCCGGGGGUGCCUGAAGUGCGCUGCCGCAAGGGAGCGCCCUAGGGUAAAACCGGUGACUGGGGCUAAGUCGUAACAAGGUACC